rnacentral:misc_RNA from 1 species
UUGAUUUGAUUUGAUAAAUCAGACUCAGAGAUACUGUACAAAAGGCAAGAGUUUGGGUCCCCCGGCGGCCGCCUGGGUCCGGGGCACGCGCGCCGCCCCCCCCAGUGGGGGGGGAGGUCUGCGCGCCCGGGGCGGGUCCGCCGAAGCAACAGUGGUAGGUUCACAUGGGGUUUGGGAGUUUUUACACUCAGUAAUGAUCCCUCCGCUGGUUCACCAACGGAGA